CGGACGGGUGAGUAACGCGUGGGUAACCUGCCUCAUACAGGGGGAUAACAGUUAGAAAUGACUGCUAAUACCGCAUAAGCACACAGUACCGCAUGGUACAGUGUGAAAAACUCCGGUGGUAUGAGAUGGACCCGCGUCUGAUUAGCUGGUUGGCGGGGUAACGGCCCACCAAGGCGACGAUCAGUAGCCGACCUGAGAGGGUGACCGGCCACAUUGGGACUGAGACACGGCCCAA
rnacentral:rRNA from 1 species